AUACGUAGGGUGCGAGCGUUGUCCGGAAUUACUGGGCGUAACGAGCUCGUAGGUGGUUUGUCGCGUCGUCUGUGAAAUUCCGGGGCUUAACUCCGGGCGUGCAGGCGAUACGGGCAUAACUUGAGUACUGUAGGGGAGACUGGAAUUCCUGGUGUAGCGGUGAAAUGCGCAGAUAUCAGGAGGAACACCGGUGGCGAAGGCGGGUCUCUGGGCAGUAACUGACGCUGAGGAGCGAAAGCAUGGGUAGCGAACAGGAUUAGAUACCCUGGUAGUCCAUGCCGUAAACGGUGGGCGCUAGGUGUAGGGGUCUUCCACGACUUCUGUGCCGUAGCUAACGCAUUAAGCGCCCCGCCUGGGGAGUACGGCCGCAAGGCUAAAACUCAAAUGAAUUGACGGGG
rnacentral:rRNA from 1 species